rnacentral:rRNA from 1 species
AACGAACGCUGGCGGCAGGCCUAACACAUGCAAGUCGAACGCCCUAGCAAUAGGGAGUGGCAGACGGGUGAGUAACACGUGGGAACGUGCCCUUCGGUUCGGAAUAACUCAGGGAAACUUGAGCUAAUACCGGAUAAGUGCGAGAGCAGAAAGAUUUAUCGCCGAAGGAUCGGCCCGCGUCCGAUUAGCUAGUUGGUGAGGUAAUGGCUCACCAAGGCGACGAUCGGUAGCUGGUCUGAGAGGAUGACCAGCCACACUGGGACUGGGACACGGCCCAGACUCCGACGGGAGGCAGCAGUGGGGAAUAUUGGACAAUGGGCGCAAGCCUGAUCCAGCCAUGCCGCGUGAGUGAUGAAGGCCCUAGGGUUGUAAAGCUCUUUCGCCAGGGACGAUAAUGACGGUACCUGGAUAAGAAGCCCCGGCUAACUUCGUGCCAGCCGCCGCUGUAA